CAGCAGCCGCGGGAAUACGAAGGGUGCAAGCGUUACUCGGAAUUACUGGGCGUAAAGCGUGCGCAGGCGGUUUGUUAAGACAGAUGUGAAAUCCCCGGGCUCAACCUGGGAACUGCAUUUGUGACUGGCAGGCUAGAGUAUGGCAGAGGGGGGUGGAAUUCCGCGUGUAGCAGUGGAAUGCGUAGAUAUGCGGAGGAACACCGAUGGCGAAGGCAAUCCCCUGGGCCUGCACUGACGCUCAUGCACGAAAGCGUGGGGAGCAAACAGGAUUAGAUACCCGUGUAGUCCCUGUCUCUUAUAC
rnacentral:rRNA from 1 species